UGAAAUAGGGGGUUUCGACAACUUCCCACAAACUCAUGCUCAUUACGAAAAGGAAUGAGAUCCUCCGUGGCGAUACAAAGAUAUGCAGAGGUGGAGGCGGAGGAAGAAGAUGAUGGACGCGACGCCAGCAGAAACCGGAGAGUAUUGGGCGGAAGCAUGUCGGUGGCGGAGAGAGAGAGAGAAAGAUCAGGUUAAAUUGGAGUCGGCCAAGCCCAAUUUGAUUCGGGCCGUCCGAUCCAUUAUUUAGCAGAUAGGCACAAAGAUUAUGGCCGUUCGGCAGUUGGCCUCUCUCCUCGAUCCUUUUCGCUUCUCUAUCCGUUAACACGUUACCCCUUCAGAUACCGGUGUAGUUGUUGGUAACGUACAUAGGCCCUACAGGAUCUACCGACUGGGAAUUAAUCGGGAUAAAAUUAAGGGUAAGAUCCAGGGGUGGCCAAGAUUCAGUUUUCUUGGCGAUAAAGAUGUGCGGCUUUCCGUAGCCCGCCUUCUUCCUCUCUCAAUUCCCCUCGCAUCUCUCCUCAUAGAAAACAGAUCAUCUUCUAUGUCGCACGAUUUCUUGUGAUUUCUUUCCGUUAUUGCAUGUUCCUCUCGACUACCAUCGGCUUUUCGGCUUAAUUUUGGAUAUCGCUGUGGAGUUUUGCUCGGAAAUAAGGCGCUGUAUUUUCGGCUUUUGGUGCGGGAUUUUCUUCCUGGGUACAUCUUUGAUCGCAGUCACGAUUUGGGUUGGGAAAGAUUUCAAGAUUUCUUUUGGUUGGACUGGGUUCGAUAGAUUUAGGUUUUCUUGUGGUCUCUGGAAGGGCGAAAAUUCCUAUGAGACGUUUCUCGAGUGCCCUUUCUUGCGGUUUCUUAUCUGCGGUGAAAAAGACAUGAGUUUGAGUGGCAAGAUUUCAAGAUUUCUUUUGGUUGGACUGGGUUCGAUAGAUUUAGGUUUUCUUGUGGUCUCUGGAAGGGCGAAAAUUCCUAUGAGACGUUUCUCGAGUGCCCUUUCUUGCGGUUUCUUAUCUGCGGUGAAAAAGACAUGAGUUUGAGUGGCAAGAUUUCAAGAUUUCUUUUGGUUGGACUGGGUUCGAUAGAUUUAGGUUUUCUUGUGGUCUCUGGAAGGGCGAAAAUUCCUAUGAGACGUUUCUCGAGUGCCCUUUCUUGCGGUUUCUUAUCUGCGGUGAAAAAGACAUGAGUUUGAGUGGCAAGAUCCGUAAAGUUUGUAAUAGGAAUAGGCCCUCUGCUGUGGUGGAAUCUGUGAAGGGUGCUAACAGGAGAGAAGAGGCAGAAGCCGAGAAGGAAUCUCUUUUGCCUGCAGAAGAGAGUGGAGGAGUGGCGACCGGUAGGGGGAAGAAGGACUCGGCGAGGAACGUCCAGUGGAAUGAUUGCAAAGGCGACAAUCUGGUAGAGAUUUUGGAAUUCCAGCCCAGUGAUUCAAGCGACUCUGAGGAUGAGUAUUUGGAUUCUUGUUUGUGCACCAUUAUGUAAAUCUUCUGCACAGAUUACAUCGUUUCUGCAGUAGAAGUAUUCAAUACCAACAGAUUGUGGGAGGCUCUAAUCACAGAAUACAUAGUCUGCAUUGCUCACUAUUUAUUUAGUUGAUGUAGUGGAAAAUCUUGAGGAUGACCUUUAUUAUUGCUUGACUUGAAAGUGUUGCUGCCUAUCAAAGAGAGAAUCUUUCUUGACAUUUUAAACUUGUUUUGUCGGAAGAAUUAUGCACAUUCCAUA